rnacentral:tRNA from 1 species
UGUUCUGUGGCUUAGUUGGUUAAAGCGCCGGUCUAGCGAAUACGGAUACGGAGUCGUGGGUUCGAAUCCCACUAGAACGC